rnacentral:rRNA from 1 species
UGGGGAAUUUUGGACAAUGGGCGAAAGCCUGAUCCAGCAAUGCCGCGUGUGUGAAGAAGGCCUUCGGGUUGUAAACCGCUUUUGUCAGGGAAGAAAUCUUCUGAGUUAAUACCUCGGGAGGAUGACGGUACCUGAAGAAUAAGCACCGGCUAACUACGUGCCAGCAGCCGCGGUAAUACGUAGGGUGCAAGCGUUAAUCGGAAUUACUGGGCGUAAAGCGUGCGCAGGCGGUUUUGUAAGACAGAGGUGAAAUCCCCGGGCUCAACCUGGGAACUGCCUUUGUGACUGCAAGGCUUGAGUGCGGCAGAGGGGGAUGGAAUUCCGCGUGUAGCAGUGAAAUGCGUAGAUAUGCGGAGGAACACCGAUGGCGAAGGCAAUCCCCUGGGCCUGCACUGACGCUCAUGCACGAAAGCGUGGGGAGCAAACAGGAUUAGAUACCCUGGUAGUCCACGCCCUAAACGAUGUCAACUGGUUGUUGGGAAGGUUCCUUCUCAGUAACGUAGCUAACGCGUGAAGUUGACCGCCUGGGGAGUACGGCCGCAAGGUUGAAACUCAAAU